GCAUUAAUGGGGUAGUGGUAACCUGGGUCGUUGCCAUGACUCGUUGAUGUUGGGUUUUCGGUUUUCGACCCGCCGGGGGUUCGAUUUCCUCUUAAUGCA